CGCCUGGGGAGUACGGCCGCAAGGUUAAAACUCAAAUGAAAUUGACGGGGGCCCGCACAAGCGGUGGAGCAUGUGGUUUAAUUCGAUGCAACGCGAAGAACCUUACCUACUCUUGACAUCCAGAGAACUUUCCAGAGAUGGAUUGGUGCCUUCGGGAACUCUGAGACAGGUGCUGCAUGGCUGUCGUCAGCUCGUGUUGUGAAAUGUUUGGGUUAAGUCCCGCAACGAGCGCAACCCUUAUCCUUUGUUGCCAGCGGUCCGGCCGGGAACUCAAAGGAGACUGCCAGUGAUAAACUGGAGGAAGGUGGGGAUGACGUCAAGUCAUCAUGGCCCUUACGAGUAGGGCUACACACGUGCUACAAUGGCGCAUACAAAGAGAAGCGAACUCGCGAGAGCAAGCGGACCUCAUAAAGUGCGUCGUAGUCCGGAUUGGAGUCUGCAACUCGACUCCAUGAAGUCGGAAUCGCUAGUAAUCGUAGAUCAGAAUGCUACGGUGAAUACGUUCCCGGGCCUUGUACACACCGCCCGUCACACCAUGGGAAGUGGGUUGCAAAAAGAAGUAGGUAGCU
rnacentral:rRNA from 1 species